AUUCUUAAAGAUGUGCCUAUAGGACUAGGUUCUUCAAUCCAGCUUCACGUUCGAAAACAGAUAAUGGACAAACCAGAAUGAAGAAAGAAAGCCAACAGUGCCAGUUGCAAGCAUGAUUGCGAGGACCAUGAGGAGAGAAUAACCCAGGUAAAGAGUUGCUGACACAGGUCCGUUCAGACUCUUCAGAUCGAAAACAAGAUAGUUGAUGGAGUACAAGAAGAUAUAUAUUGCAACCGAACCAGACGCAAAGAAAGACUUCCACCACCAUUUAUAGUCCUCCACACAUAGGUGCAUGUAGGUUAGAACCAGUGACACUUCGGCACAAACCACCACAAGUAGGAUCAAUACAACAAAAAGGAACCCAAAAACGUAAUACACUCUGCCCAUCCAAAUACUGGACAUGAUGAAGAAAAGCUCAAUGAAAAGUGUACCAAAUGGGAGGGUGCCAGCCCCAAGAACUAGUAGCCAAGAUGGAUAAUUUUGAGCAGGAAUUUCCCGGGGAAUCUGGUUGGUGCGAACUGGAUAUUCAAUAUGAGGUGCCUUUGCCCCAAAAUAACCCCCAACUAAGGUAAGGGGAACAGAGAUGCAGAACCAGAGCAAAAUGAGAACUAAAAACAGGAAAAAGGGAAUGGCUCCUGUGCUAUGACUACCCCAUAGUAGGAAAUUCAGAGUGGUCAGAAUCAGAAAGGCAAUACCAGGGAAAAAACAUGCAACCCUCCAAGCGACAGAAACCCACUCUUUCUGGUUUCCGCAGAAGAGUGUCCUCCACAAGCGGACAGCGACAUAACCAGCAGCGAUUCCAAGAAACAUGUAAAAGAAUAGCAUGCCUGUUAGCAGUGUUCCUCGAGAAGCAGGGGACAUAAAUCCAAGGGCAGCAAACAAAAUUGUCACGACUGCCAUUCCAAGAAUCUGGACUCCAUCUCCUACCAUAACGCACAACAACGUAGGAUUGCUUGGAGCACGGAAAACAUCAGCCACAACAAGUUUCCAUCCUGACAGCUCUUCAUUCAUCUGGGCUUGAGCCUCCUUGUCAAGCUCCUCAUAACGAGUCAGAUCCCUCCUGACAGUCCUCAAGAAGAUUACAAGGACGAUACCAGCCAAGAAUAUGAUCACCAUAAGAGAGUUAAGAAUGGAAAACCAGUGAACCUUUGCUCCUUCCAUCUUUAGAUAAGCAUCCCAUCUAGAUGGCCAUUUGAUAUCNAGUUGCAAGCAUGAUUGCGAGGACCAUGAGGAGAGAAUAACCCAGGUAAAGAGUUGCUGACACAGGUCCGUUCAGACUCUUCAGAUCGAAAACAAGAUAGUUGAUGGAGUACAAGAAGAUAUAUAUUGCAACCGAACCAGACGCAAAGAAAGACUUCCACCACCAUUUAUAGUCCUCCACACAUAGGUGCAUGUAGGUUAGAACCAGUGACACUUCGGCACAAACCACCACAAGUAGGAUCAAUACAACAAAAAGGAACCCAAAAACGUAAUACACUCUGCCCAUCCAAAUACUGGACAUGAUGAAGAAAAGCUCAAUGAAAAGUGUACCAAAUGGGAGGGUGCCAGCCCCAAGAACUAGUAGCCAAGAUGGAUAAUUUUGAGCAGGAAUUUCCCGGGGAAUCUGGUUGGUGCGAACUGGAUAUUCAAUAUGAGGUGCCUUUGCCCCAAAAUAACCCCCAACUAAGGUAAGGGGAACAGAGAUGCAGAACCAGAGCAAAAUGAGAACUAAAAACAGGAAAAAGGGAAUGGCUCCUGUGCUAUGACUACCCCAUAGUAGGAAAUUCAGAGUGGUCAGAAUCAGAAAGGCAAUACCAGGGAAAAAACAUGCAACCCUCCAAGCGACAGAAACCCACUCUUUCUGGUUUCCGCAGAAGAGUGUCCUCCACAAGCGGACAGCGACAUAACCAGCAGCGAUUCCAAGAAACAUGUAAAAGAAUAGCAUGCCUGUUAGCAGUGUUCCUCGAGAAGCAGGGGACAUAAAUCCAAGGGCAGCAAACAAAAUUGUCACGACUGCCAUUCCAAGAAUCUGGACUCCAUCUCCUACCAUAACGCACAACAACGUAGGAUUGCUUGGAGCACGGAAAACAUCAGCCACAACAAGUUUCCAUCCUGACAGCUCUUCAUUCAUCUGGGCUUGAGCCUCCUUGUCAAGCUCCUCAUAACGAGUCAGAUCCCUCCUGACAGUCCUCAAGAAGAUUACAAGGACGAUACCAGCCAAGAAUAUGAUCACCAUAAGAGAGUUAAGAAUGGAAAACCAGUGAACCUUUGCUCCUUCC
rnacentral:lncRNA from 1 species